AUCAGAUUCCUUCGUGGCAUCCUCAGACAGGACUGUCUGUCAGCUCUGACAUCUUGAGGACUGUCUUUGACCUCUGAAAUCUGUCUGCUUUGAGGCAGUAGUAAUUCUCAGUCUGUUCCUCCUCCUAAUUCUUGCAAGGCUCUUCCCGUGUUUACAAUAUCAGAUUGUUUGAGGGCUAUGGAAGCCAGAGGACCAUCGCCAUGUGGAAGAACCCUGCCUAACUGACAUCCAGAACUCGGAGUGGCUCCAGUAGAAGAUGCUACAGCCUUGACCUGCCUCCAUCAGGCCUUGCCUUGUGUCAUGGCUUUGAGAGCUCGUGCACAACUGGCAGUGUCCACACCGGAGUGAAGCCUUCACAUUUUGGAAUACCCAGAGUGCCUUAAGGUGCUGUUGAUUAAACCCUCCUAUGGAAUCACCACGAAAGUAGCUCUGCCACUCCUAUGGCCUUUGGUCUGGCUUUGUCAUCGGCUGGGAACUGAACGCCUGAGCCGUUUCUCUUCGUAUUUCUCUCGUCAAUUUGCUGUAGCAUUGUGAUGGAUGAACUGGUUCACACCUUAGCCCAGGAGCCUUCAUCCUUGGCUGGAAGUUUUAUUGAAACAUCAGCACAAAUAAUAAUCCAUUGCUAAAUUCCGAGUGCCUGAGGUACCUAUCCUUGUCUGAUCUUGAAGAGCUUCCACCAUCAGAAGGGUCUCUAGAAAUGCUGUUUCAUUGGUCAGCUGUUGCAAUUGGUCAGGGAAGUAUACGGUAUUUUUUCCUUCAUUUACUCAAACAUCAGUUCUUUAUGGCUCUCUUUUUAUGUUUUUUAUGGUUCUCUCUGAGUUUUCAGAUUUCACAACAUUCUCUAAUCAUCGCACUACAAAAAGCUGAACCUACACAAGUACACCUGAAUGCCCCAUGUGGUUUAAGGAGUACAAAAUGCUUGUUUCAAGCCAUUGGUGCUGAGCUUCAGGACAUGGAUCUGUGGCUGUCCUCAAGAGGAUUGCACCUGCUGAUGUGCUGAGGGUGUGAAGCAGCUGAGAAGCUUCUGGGGGACAGCCUGGGGCGCUGCAAACAUCUGCAGAGGCACCUCUGUUAUCAGCACAUAUCUCCCCUCUGCAUGGCACCCUGCUUCCCAAAUCCAGGAUCAUCAGGAAUGUGUAUUGUGUAGCUUUAGCUCUGCUUUGGGGGAAAGUUCCUCCAAAGCUGGCAUGUGGGCUGAGCACUGGAUCUGCCAGGAGCACUGGUUGGAACCUUUCCCAGCAUAAAGGAAGAUGCUUGGAGGGAUUCCAGAAGGUAUAUUGGGCACCUGCAGAGUUUGCCAUGGACCAAGAUGCCUGACAGAAUGGUUGUUGCCUGGUACUUCUGGAGGCAUUAACAUCUGAUGCAGAGAGGAUAAUGUGCCCAUCAGCUCUUGUGUUGCAUCUCAGCACACAGCCACAUCUCAGACAUAUGGAGCAGCCUCUCUGGGGCAGGAGGGACCAGGGAACAGACCUCAGUGAUGGCUGCCUCACCCACAAGCAGGACGGGGCACUCGUGCUUCUACAGCAAUACAUGGAAGAUUUUGUUUGUUUCAUUCUCCCGUGAGGCUGUUAAAUGAGCCUGGUCCUGUGUUCAUUGAAUCUCAAUGCACGUGGCAACCUGUGACCAGCUGUGAGACCGUGUGGGCAAGGACUGGUUUGUCUGCUGAAGAACUUUUCCUUGUUCCUUCAUUUGGCUCUUGAUGAGGUGAGAGCUGCAGCGAUGGCACCUAUAGUCUCUUGUUUGCAAUAACAGCACUGCAGUGCAGUCUGGUGAGGAGGACCGUAAGGCUCUACGUGGCCAUCUGCACUGACACAGCAGCACCACGAUGUCGAAAUACAAACGGGAAAGACUUCACAUCUGCCUGAUGCUACUUUUUUUUCUGGAUGAGGAGGUGAGCUCGAGCCUCUCCCUGGAAGAGAGGGCUGGCAGCAGCGCUGAGCUGGGAUGUGGAGGCUGCACAGGGGCCCAUUGGCUGAAGGUCAAGACUUCUCCUUGAGGGCACCUGAACCGGAGUUACGUUCCCUAUCUUUGCAGAACCCAUGCUGUCUGCCUCUGGGAGGCAGCAAGUGGAAGAUCCUGGCUUGUGGAGGACUAAUGCUUCCAGGCAAGCAAAGCCUGCAGCAUCCUUUUGUUCUUGGUGAAUUCAUUGGGCAAUGCAUUGACUCAGCCUUUUACUCAAAGACACUGUGCCUAUACCAGCAGAGCCACCUGAGCCAUCGGCCAUCACCCAGCAGGGAAGGGAUCCCGGGCAGCUUGUCAGGCAUGUCGUGGUGGUCCUGUGUGUGUUCUGCCUCCCAAGAGGAAGAAAUUUGGGUUGCAGUACCAGAGCUGUGGGACGAGCUUCACUCAAGCCAGCAAGCAGUGCCCACCUAGUCCCUGGAGAGCUGGUAAGCAGUUAGCACUUGCUAAGCGGAUAUUGCUUCAUCUUCUGUUAUUACUUGUGUUUCCUAGGUCAAACUGACACCAACUGGUCUGCUAGAGCCACAUCAGAGAACCUAUCCAGAGUCUCUGAAGAGCUGCUAAACUGUAAGGAUGUGCAAAACCCAUAUUCCUAUGACUGCCAGUUUGCUAGGGCAAACUGACACUGAUCUGCAGAGAGGAGCUGUGGGCACACCUCUGUUUUGAUUUGGAGGAAUAUUCUCUAUCACUCCAGGCCUUAAUUCCUCAUCAAUGAUGAACUUGUGGUGGAAUCCACUGACUGUAGCUCUGUGAUUUGGUGUGGUGGAAAAGCACAGGCCCCAAGGCACGCUGGAAUUGUCAUGUUCUGCUAUAAGAACCAAAGAUACAAAAGUGAUAUUAUUGGCAGCUUAGCUGACUGGGUGAGCCCUACAAAAUUCCUUUGAUGUUUUAGUCUUAUUUGAUAGGAAUAGGGCCAGAUUAAAAAAACUCCAGUCUUCCAAAUCCUAAAAUGCAAAAACAAAGCGUUGGACCCUUUCAUUUCCUUCACAGUUCAGAGUCUGCAAGGAAAAUGAUUUGAAGCAUUUCCUUCUUCUAACACCAAAACAGAGCCUGGCUUUUACAUAAAGAGAAAACUGUUUCUGUUGAGUGCUGAGAGCUGUGCUUUUCUAUCACACCGUUUCACAGAACAAGAAGAUACAAAUCAACGGGGAAGUGUGAAGUCGCAGUACUAUAAUUUCUGUAUCUGCUUUUCCUAUGAUUAUGAUAGGACACAUCUCUUACUUGCCCCUAUAAGAUUUAUUUUUUUCUCCCCAGCCCUUUUCUUAUAUUUCUGUAGUCCCCUGAAUGUAAUCUGCUGCCCUGAGUCAUAUUAAAAAAAAUCACAUUGAGUUGAAAGGAAAACGUUUGGUUCUUCAAUGUGUGGAAAAAUAUUUCUGUUGUUUAAAUGCAAGUAAUUAAACUGAGGACUUUCUCCAAAGUAAACCUUGACAAUCUAACAACCAUCUUUGGCUUUUGCGCCGCAUGGAGUUUCUUUUACAUUUUUAAAUGCAUUCCUUGUUUCAGUAAAUGACACCAGGCUCACCAGCAGUGACUGAGUGAUUAGUUUAUCAUCCUCUUAGUGCAGCCAUCUAGAUCUUUAACUCUUUAAGCAGUGGCAUUUAAGACUUGAGAACACCCAGAAACACGCCUGAGGCUUUAGGCAUUCUCAAUUCAAGCAAAUCUUGGAUAUCAGGUGAAAACGAAUAAAAGAAAGUAGAUGGGCGUACUCUGAUAACGCUUUAAACAAGUCAGGUAAGCUAAAUUGCAAAUAAACAGCAGGCUUUUUAAAGAGGAAGCCAAUUCCCCUUUCCUGGGACCACUCGGGUCAUCAGGUGUCUGAGCAGCAUAAAAUUACAUGGAGAAAAAUCUCCCGACCUACAAAGGGAGCAAAGGAUGACAGUGCAUUUCCCAAGGCUGUGGGGCAGGGCUUUUCUCUGGAUUUACUGCUCAUUUCUUACGGUGCAGUCAAAACAACCAUUUUACAACAGUUCUGGCUGUAACAAGUGUGUGUGAGCUGAAACAUACUGCACUGAUGCCCUGUGCCGUAAUCAUGUCCAUGCAGAGCUGCACGAUGCCUGGCAGCAACAAGAGAAGGAAGAAGGAAGGGCCUCUUGUUACUUCAGGAACAAGGAAGGUGGGGAUGGACGUUCAGACAGAGGGAAAGGACUGACCUGUGGGCUGCUGACCAGCUGUGCCUGCUGCUGAGCAUCGUGGAUCUGCACCUAUCAUCCGAUCCUGCUCAGUAACGCGAGCCACAUCACCAUGUGUGCCCUCUGCCAGGGGAGACUCGGAGCUGCUCGCCCCGUGAAGGCCAAGAGCUCUGGGAUCUCUGUAGCUGGUAGAGCCAGGACUGUGGGAAUGCAGCACCGAGCCCAGAGCUCAGCUUUUAGCUAUUUAUUUUGUUUUAAAAAAUGCUUUUGUAGUUUCGUCCGCUGCCUGUGGUCGGUUGUUUUGUUUUGUUUUCUUUUGUUUUGUUUUGUUUGCAGGCUGGACUUGGAGUUUUGCUGUUUGGGGAGAAAGGAGUUUUUGCCCAGCAGGGCAGAAUGAGCCUGUGUGGAUGCUGCUCAGUGAGAUAAAUUCUCUGCAUCCUGAAGAAUGUUGAGUGCAUUGAGAGCUACCUCUGAAAGAGCAGAGCUGUCUCCUGCAAGCACAGACCAGAUAGGUCUCCAGUUUUCUGGUGACCCUUCUGUUGCCUGCAGGCUGCAGCCAUUCUCAACACCGUAAAUACCUUCAGACAUCCGCUUCAAGCAUGCUUCCCUACCAAAAGCUGUGAUGAAGGGAAGAUUUUGCUUCCGUCUCCCAGCAAUGUUUCCCUUCUGCUCUUCUUCUCAAGCCAGUGCGACAAAAGGAGAGCCAGCCCUGGUUGUUCUCCAAGAGCUGAGUGGUGAGGAUGUCCCUCUGUGAUGUGUGGGGCAAUGCAUACCCUGGUAGCAGCAAACCUGUUGUUUCAUGGGCCGUAAACAAGAUCUUAUACAGCAAUCUUGUAUGAUGUAGCUCUCCCAGUAUUCUCACGGGGACUGAAAUGCUGUGAGAGCCUUCUGUGUGCUGGGUUGUGGCACUGGGUGGCACUGAUCUAUCGGGUGGCAAGCAGCCCACAGCAGGAGGGAUGGAACUGGAUGAUCUUUAAGGUCCCUUCCAACCUGAGCCAUGCAGUGACUCUACGUCUUGUUCAGAACUGACGUGUGGUUUUGCUUCAUUUCUGAGGAUGGUUCAAAGUGCUCUCCUUCCCAGAUGGAGACUCUGCCAUGCCUUUAAUUCUAAUCUUCUCCUUUCCUAUUUUUUUUUUAAUCACCCUUCACGGUUAAGCAUAUAAUUAACCAGUUGGAUAAAGUAGGUUUGUGGUGUCACAGAGUCACAAAGCUGAAGCUAGAGCUUCUGAAGUCCAAAUCAACUCCUUCAUCAUCAGACCUGCCUUCCUGCAGGCACGCCAGCACUUGCAGCGUGGCCCAGAACCUCUCGCCUUUGAACUUCCCAGCUUUAGGCUGCUGACUCAGUGUCUGUGCGUGAUGGAAGCAGUGAAGGGGGAAACAGGUAAUUGCUUAGGGAGGAAAAAGCCAAAAAUGAAACCGUGCCUUGCUGCCGUUGACACAAGCUCUGCUCUUGCUCAGGUGCCUUUGGGUAAUAGAUUUUUGGGAGAGAAUGUGGUGGGCUUUGAUUCUGCUUACAGGUGUUGUCUCAGAACCGAAGAAGACAGAGCAGGUAACAGUAAGUAAGAACACUUCUACCUUGAGAAUAAACCCAGAGAACACCUCACUCCUUAGCUCACUUCAUCAGUAAUAAAACGGUCCUGUUGCAUUGCAGUGAAGUAGGUCCUGCUAGAAAGUUAUUGUCAGGAAGGACUGGAAGUACUUGUAGUUCCUUCCUUCCCAUCUGCCUGUUUCAGAAGGACUAAACUUGUAGGGUACUUGGAGUGAACUGCGUUGACCUGACAAAUGUGUUGCACUAACAUGGAUUGCUUUGCACUAGAGUAAGCUUGAGUGAAGACCUUACUGCACUGAGCAUGAUUUAGCCAAGUGUGAUGGAUUUGUGUUUACGUGUUCGUGUGUGUUUAUAACCACAUGCAUGACUAUAAACGUACAUGGGAUAUUGAGAUGAAGUAGGACAGAACUAACAAAGCCAAUAUAACCUGCAGCCUCAUUUAGAUGGCCAUGGAGAGGCAGCCUUUCUUCCUGAAGUGAUUUUUCUCAUCACAUGUCUGUGGGAAGCUGAUGCUCUCAUACACAUUCGCUACAAAAGCGUAUUUGAUGAGUACUUUCUAUGAAUGACCCUUGAUCUGCUCAUGGUAAGCACUUAGUCACCAGGCAGGUGGUGCAAAUGAGCCCCACCAGCCUCCUGUGGCUGGAGAUGGAAGCCACAAGCCGUGCCCGUGUUCUCCACCUCCAGGCAGAUGGGAAUCCCUACAAGGAUUUCUCUUCUCUAAUUUCAGGAGAGGACGUUCACAGCCAUGAGUCUGAAAUUCAUAGGUGUGCUGACAUUUCCAGGCACUUAGGAUAAUGCUCACUGCUAAACUCCUCUGCUGCUGCUGAAAGCCAAGUAGAACGUGUUUAGAGCAAACUCAUCUAGCAAAUUCAAGCAUGUCCUCCUAGAAUUAUUUUUGCAGCAGUUGUCCUGCUCUGCUUAUUUAUGCCUUGUGCUAGCAUUUGAAAUCAUUAAAGCCAUAAUUAAUUAAUCAUUAAUAUCAGUGCUGGAGACUCUGAAGUGGUGUGGAUGCUGAGGGAGAUGCCAGCACUGUGGUGUUCUCAAAAUGUAUUUGUGGCUCAACCAGUCUGAAAUCAGCCUUCUUCUCUUAUGGCCUUACAGUGUUCCUUAGGAAAACGAUGGUUUUGUGGAUGCUCAUCUCUGGAGGUGAUCAAGGCCAGGUUGGGAGGCCCUGGGCAGCCUCAUCUGGUGUCUGUGUAGUUUAUGGCAACCCUUCCAUGUAGUAUGGGGGCUGGAACUGGAUGGUCUUUGGUGGUGAUGGGUUGGCAGCUGGACCUCAAAGAUCACCUUAGAAGUCUUUUCCAGCCUUAAUGAUUGUAUGAUCCUGCGAAUACAUCCCUCACCUUCUGGAGGUCCCUCUUGCAUCUCAAGGAUGAGGCUUUGAUUGAAUGGGAAGCAAAUGUAGGCUAAAAGCAAUGAUUAUUUCCAGAACGUGCAUGAGAAUAUGGAUUUUCCUCUUGUAACAGUGAUCAAUCAGCGUACAAACGAUUUUACAACACAUGGCUUCAGUCACAGAUUCACAUUGUUGGGGUUGGAAGGGGCCCUUAAAGGUCGUCAUGUUCAACUCCUCUGCAGUGCACAGGGACACCCACAGCUCC